UACGGAGGGUGCAAGCGUUAUCCGGAUUCACUGGGUUUAAAGGGUGCGUAGGCGGGCAUGUAAGUCAGUGGUGAAAUCUUUGGGCUUAACCCGAAAACUGCCAUUGAUACUAUAUGUCUUGAAUAUUGUGGAGGCUAGCGGAAUAUGUCAUGUAGCGGUGAAAUGCUUAGAGAUGACAUAGAACACCUAUUGCGAAGGCAGCUGGCUACGCAUAUAUUGACGCUGAGGCACGAAAGCGUGGGGAUCAAACAGG
rnacentral:rRNA from 1 species